AUUCCAGAGACACAGAAUUGCUUGAGCAAUCGAGGGUGAGGCAAACCUGGAAGGAAGAAAUCACUGAUGUUUCCAGAAGACAUGGGAGUCAUGGAGAUUUCUACGAGGCCACAGGCCACUGUGGAGAGUCUCUGAGCCUGAUGUGAGGGUGUGUGAGGACAGUGCCAAGGCAAGACCUGAGAACAGGGGCCUUGCAAGUGCGUCGUGUGCACUUGGAGCAGCCUUGCACCAGACGCGGCCGGCCCGCUUUCUUCAGUUAAUGAGCUGAGACUGAAAUCCAC
rnacentral:lncRNA from 1 species